rnacentral:tRNA from 1 species
CCAGGGGUAUGCUUAGUGGUAGAGCACUUGCUUAGCAUGCAUGAGGCUCUGGGUUCAAGACCUAGCACCAUGA